CCUACGGGCGGCAGCAGUCGAGAAUCAUUCACAAUGGGGGAAACCCUGAUGGUGCGACGCCGCGUGGGGGAAUGAAGGUCUUCGGAUUGUAAACCCCUGUCAUGUGGGAGCAAAUGAAAAAGAUAGUACCACAAGAGGAAGAGACGGAUAACUCUGUGCCAGCAGCCGCGGUAAUACAGAGGUCUAAAGCGUUGUUCGGAACCACGGGGCGUAAAGUGUGCGUAGGCUGUUACGUAAGUCGUGUGUGAAAGGCGCGGCCCCAACACGCGGACGGCACAUGAUACUGCGAGACUAGAGUAAUUGAGGGGGAACUGGAAUUUUCGGUGUAGGAGUGAAAUCCGUAGAUAU
rnacentral:rRNA from 1 species